rnacentral:rRNA from 1 species
ACUCCUACGGGAGGCAGCAGUGGGGAAUUUUGCGCAAUGGGGGAAACCCUGACGCAGCAACGCCGCGUGAGUGAUGAAGGCCCUUGGGUCGUAAAGCUCUGACAGAGGGAAAGAAAUGCAGGGGAGCUAAUAUCUCCCUUGCUUGACGGUACCCUCAAAGGAAGCACCGGCUAACUCCGUGCCAGCAGCCGCGGUAAUACGGGGGGUGCAAGCGUUGUUCGGAUUUAUUGGGCGUAAAGCGCGUGUAGGCGGUUUUAUAAGUCUGAUGUGAAAGCCCUGGGCUCAACCCGGGAAGUGCAUUGGAUACUGUAAGACUUGAAUACGGGAGAGGGUAGUGGAAUUCCUAGUGUAGGAGUGAAAUCCGUAGAUAUUAGGAGGAACACCGGUGGCGAAGGCGGCUACCUGGACCGAUAUUGACGCUGAGACGCGAAAGCGUGGGUAGCAAACAGGAUUAGAUACCCUGGUAGUCCACGCCGUAAACGAUGAGAACUAGGUGUCGCGGGU